GUGACUGGAUAACUGAAGUAAUUUGAAGUCUGUUUUUACUAGAACCUGAUCACCACCUGAGUGAGUGAAGAAACUGAGGACUGUUUGAAACUUCCUUGGACAUUAAUAGGUUGACUGCUAUGUCGCUGAACUUAGUGCAUGAAAGGUCAGCCUUUGAAAAGCUAAAUAAGGUGAACAGGAUGCAGAGAAUAUACUAUGUGAAUCCUACCGUGGCUUUUCUAUUAAAGGAUUGUUUGGUGGGAGGUAAGCAAAUAGGCCAUUGCUGGUGAUGAUUAAAACACUCUAAUCUAAUGUAAAAAGGGAUAAUAAGAAUCCUGUCCUCUAAACCAACAAACAAGUGAUACCCAAGCCAGGAAGCUCAAAAUCCACAAAAUAAACCUUAUUCCAAAAGCUGGAUUUGGUUAUUAAUUGACUGAUUUCCUACCAAUAAGAGCACACUUUCAGGCUGGUGGGCUUGAUGAGAGGUACUUGAAAGCC